rnacentral:rRNA from 1 species
CCUACGUGUGACAGCAGUGAGGAAUAUUGGUCAAUGGGCGGAAGCCUGAACCAGCCAAGUCGCGUGAGGGAAUAAGGCCCUACGGGUCGUAAACCUCUUUUGCCGGGGAGCAAGGGCCGGGACGCGUCCCGGCCCGGAGAGUACCCGGAGAAAAAGCAUCGGCUAACUCCGUGCCAGCAGCCGCGGUAAUACGGAGGAUGCGAGCGUUAUCCGGAUUUAUUGGGUUUAAAGGGUGCGUAGGCGGGCUUUUAAGUCAGCGGUAAAAAUUCGGGGCUCAACCCCGUCCGGCCGUUGAAACUGGGAGGCUUGAGUAUGUUUGAGGCAGGCGGAAUGCGUGGUGUAGCGGUGAAAUGCUUAGAUAUCACGCAGAACCCCGAUUGCGAAGGCAGCCUGCCAAGCCAUGACUGACGCUGAUGCACGAAAGCGUGGGGAUCAAACAGGAUUAGAUACCCGAGUAGUC